rnacentral:tRNA from 1 species
GGUCUUGUAGCUCAGCUGGAUAGAGCAACAGCCUUCUAAGCUGUGGGUCAUGGGUUCGAAUCCCAUCGAGAUCACCA